GGCUAAAAAACAACCUUAUUCCUCCAUUUCCAAAUACAAGCCAAAUUGCUUCCAAUGCUGCUAUGGAAUGGUAUCAAUCAAUGAGAACUGCCAAUGUCACUAGUGAAUAUUAUUUAAACAUCUUGUCUUGGAAAAAGCCUCUCCCUUCAACUGCAAAGCUGAAUGUUGAUGGUGCUCGAUGUUGUGCUAAUGGUCGCAUUGCUGCUGGUGGAGUCUUAAGAGAUUAUAAUGGGGAUUGGAUCUGCGGUUUUCAGGCCAACCUUGGUAUUCGACAAGUGUUAGAUGCUGAGGCUUGGGGUCUUGUUCUUGGCCUCAAAAUGGCAUCUAAUUGCAGCAUCUCCAAACUUGAGAUUGAAUCAGACUCUGCAAUCUUAGUCAAUUUAAUUCUUCAUGGGGAUAUUGAAUCCCACCCUCUUGGUGCUAUCAUUAAGAGCUGCAGACACAUGCUUUCUCUAUUUGAUUCUGUGAACCAUAUGCAUAUUUUCAGAGAAUGCAACAGCACUGCGGAUGCUCUUGCUAAAUCGGGCCUUGAUCAUGACCAUGGUGUUGUCGUUUUCGACUCCCCUCCUCCCCAAACUGCUACUGGAUGAUCUCUGUGAAGUUUCCAGAUCCAGGUCUAGUGUUACACCUGUAAUUUAGCUUCUCCUUUUGUCUUUCUGUGUUUGGGUCUUUUUUAGACCUCCUUGUAACCAAAAAAAAAAAUUAUUCACAUAUUGAAAUCCAACCAGAGAUGGAAAAGAAAGAAUUUCCGGAUUUUUUUUAUCUCCAUCUCAUUUAGUCACAGCGCACAAGUGCUGAAGUGAUCCUUAAGCAUGGCUAUAACAUUUGAAAGGCUUAGACCAUCUCCAACAGAUGGGUCUUUUGCCAGAUGGACAGCUAACGUUUAUUUUUGACCAACCAAAUUAUGUUCCAACCCAUCUGUCUAUUACACGUGUAUUUGACAUAAGAGCAUCCUCUGUCAAAUUUGACAGAUUCUCCCCUUUCGGUCUUUUAUUUUUUUAUUGUUUCUUUCUCUCUCUCUCGAUCUCUUUCCCUUUCGCGUCUUUCUUCCUCUGCUCUCACCCAAAACUUCAAGCAUCCUCUCCUCUCACCCAAAACUUCGAGCUUCCUCUCUUCAAGUUUCUUUUUUCUUCUUGAAUAUUAGGCACAUGGAUCGAAAUGUUUCAGAUUCAUCUUCAGAUACUGCAAAUGAGGAAUUUUGGGAUCUUGCCAAUUCAUCAUCAGACGAAGAAUUGAUGAAUCUGCAGAUUACUGCUCUACAAGAGAUGGGAAGAAGAAGACGCCGGGGCUCAAUUCCUGGUCGCAUAUAUAAAGAUAGACAAUGAUUGCAAGGCCACGAAACACUCUACAAUUAUUAUUUUGCUGAAAAUCCUGUUCACGAUUGCAAGGCUAAUAUCAGCCUGUAACAGCCAUGCCAUUACAUAUGUUCCACAUUAUGACACCCUUGGAGCUAAGGAUGAAGCCGUGUUAUGUAGUUUUUGUGGGUCUCUCAGCUGGUACUAAAGCUUGUAUGUACAAAGUUUUUCAAGUAAGUGUUGUGCGUAAUAUAGAUACUAAUGUAAUUGGUAUGCUUUCUUUUGCACUCCCAGCUAACACUUCAAUGUUGUGUUCUUGUUGACGAUGAUUGUCACGAGUUGUUUUGGGAAAUUAAUGCUUAUUCAAAGCAAUGGACUAUGAUUUCAAGUGAAAUUUAAAACUUGUGAAUGGCUACACCUGAGCCUAUUUCUAGCUUUUGCUUGUUGUCCAUUCGCACAGCUCAAGCUUUUAGGACAUAGUGUUCUGACAUUGUACCAAAAGCAUUAUUUGAAACCACCAAUUAAGUGUUCUGACAUUUCACAUUUGUUUAUGACGUUUUGGUGUUUAUUAUGAUUACUAUUUCAAUCUAUUCAUCUUUCCCCACAAUUACAAAUGAGUGCUUGGCAUGAACAAAUCUCAUAUUGUUGCCAUAGUUAGGAUGCAGUCAACUAGAUAUUGUUUUCUUGUUUCUGGUUUUUGCGUUGUUCCUAUGGUAGAUUGAGUUGCUGGUUUUGUAAGUAGACGUAUAGGUCCAUACAACUACAUGGUCUUUAAUUGUUGGUUGGCAGAUUAGACUGUCAACUACAUAUAUGGUCUUUAAUUGUUUCUAUUACCUAACAUGUGACUGGAAAUAAUGAUGAGUUAAUGUGCAGACUGAUGUCUUAAAUUGAUGAGGUACAAAAGGUGCAGAUUGAUUCUUUUCUAGCUCUGUUGUGCAAGCUGCAAGUGUUUUGCUCAGUUCGAUGGUUUUUGCUCAGCAAUAAACGUGCAGAGUAGACAAUCAGUUUAUUAUCUACAAUGCGUACAAGUUUUCACAGGUUUCCAGUUUUUUCACACAAGACUCAGAGCAUGAAGUGUGAGGUUGUUGGUUUGUUGGUUUCCAUUUUAGUUUGUAUCAGUUUGAGGUUUUGUCCAGUGAUCAUGUAUUUGACUGCUUGCAAACCCUUUAAGAAUGACUAUGUUUCCUGCUAUUUGACUGCUAAAACUGUGCAGUUUCUGUUUCUGUUUUCAAUCCAUUUCAGUUUGUAUCAGUUUGUUGGUUUCCAGUGAUGUUGUAUUUGACUGCUAUCAAAUUCAAGCUGAUUCUGUUUCCUGCUA